AAAGCAUAAGCUUAAAUCGUCUCAGAAGGACAAGGUCCGCCAGUUUAUGGCCUUUACCCAGGCUGGUGAAAGGACUGCCAUAUACUGCUUAACGCAGAAUGAAUGGAAACUAGAAGUGGCAACAGACAACUACUUCCAGAAUCCAGACUUAUACUACAAAGAAUCCAUGAAAAAUUCAGUAGACAGGAAGAAAUUAGAACAAUUGUAUAAUCGAUACAAAGACCCCCAAGAUGAAAAUAAAAUUGGCAUUGAUGGAAUUCAGCAGUUUUGUGAUGAUUUAAGCCUGGACCCAGCCAGUAUCAGUGUCCUGGUUGUAGCAUGGAAAUUCAGGGCAGCUACUCAAUGUGAAUUCAGUAAAAAGGAGUUUGUUGAUGGUAUGACAGAGUUGGGGUGUGACACCACAGAAAAACUAAAAGCUCUAUUGCCAAGACUUGAACAAGAGCUAAAGGAUCCAACAAAGUUCAAAGAUUUUUAUCAGUUUACUUUUAACUUUGCUAAAAACCCUGGACAAAAAGGUCUAGUUGCCUGGGAUCAAGCAAGAAAUGAAAGAUGAGGAGGGCAUUCAGACUUGAAUCAAAUAUUACUUCAAGACCAGAAGAAUGACUCUCUUUACAUCCGAUUUAGAAAUGGCAAUUGCAUAUUGGAAUUUAGUCUUGUCAGGAAGGUUUAAAUUUCUAGAUCUUUGGAAUAAAUUUUUGUUGGAACAUCAUAAAAGAUCAAUUCCAAAAGACACUUGGAAUCUUUUGUUAGACUUUGGAAAUAUGAUUGCAGAUGAUAUGUCCAACUAUGAUGAAGAAGGGGCGUGGCCUGUUCUAAUAGAUGAUUUUGUGGAAUAUGCACGACCAAUAGUCACAGGAGGAAAACGUAAAACUUCCUAACCCCAGACUUGUCAGUAUGGACUAAACAUGCUCUCUGAACUGCAUUGGGUGAUGAGGAUUUGUUAACUGAAAACUGCACAUUUUUGCUGGUUUCAGUAGCCGUGAUGACAUUCUGCAGACAAAACUGAAAUUCUUCUUUCUGCCUCAAGAAUAUGAUGGCUGACUUGUGGACACUUCAAGAACAAACUCAGAAGAUAGUUCAGGCUGUUUGUAGGCUAUUGGCUUCAAUUAUUGUACUGGUUAUAUCAUAUAGGAUGUAGAUUUUGCAUGAUUUUAUACUUUGGAGAAGUUUAACUAGAGGCCAUUUUAUUAAAGUUUUGACAGCACAGCAUGCCAUUCAGUUCAUGAUCCAAAGUGAACACCAGCAGUUACAUAAAUAAAACUGUAUUAUAUUGUACUUAUAUUAAAAGCAGUAUUUGUGGUAUAUAAAUUAAAUCCCUAAAUAAAACUUACGCAGUAUGUUGUAUUUUUAUAAAAGUUCUGUGGAUCUGUGCUAAUACAGAAUUGUAACAAAACCAAACAAAACAACUUAUGCUUUUUUUGUUUUUAAUUGUUGCCCAAACUUACAAUUUUUACUUUUAAGUCCUAGUUGUGUAGAUUGAUUAUAUCCAGCCUUUUGUUUUCUCCCAAUGAGAUUAACUUCCUCAUUAUUCUUCUUGAAGCGCUUGGACAUGUAGGAAUAGCAUUGCUGAGGACGGGCUGCUGCUCUAUGCUGUAUUGCACCUCCAGCUUUUUUUUUAUUAACCACUUUAAAAUAGACAUUGAACAACCAAAGAUGCUUUUAUAAUUCAUGUUUGAUUAUCUUAAUUCAGUUAGUCUUCAGUUAUGUGUUUUAUUUAUUUUUAAUAAGGAACCGGUGGAAUGUGGAUUUUAUUUAUAGCUUGAAACAUACCAUAAAUUCUAACUAAAUGCAACAUAGUUAUAAAUGCAAUUCCUGGCACUUCUCAUGGAAAAUAUAUGUGAAUAAGCCCAAAGACUUAACUAGUUGAUUUCUAUGUUGGAAAAAGAGGUAGGGGUAAGGAGACUUUAUAUUAAUGAUUGUAAGUAUUCAUGCCUCUGGAUAUAUUAUGCAUUCUAUUUUAUAUAUUUAAGAGGGCGGAGGAAGAGUAAAUUGAUACAGUUUCAGUGAUCUCAAGGCUGGUGGAAUUGGACCGAUUUUUCACCAAACCUGAAUUUGUUCAGUCAUUUGUUUCUCCCCUUAUGCUACUGAUUGAUUAUAAAGUGUACAGAGGUCAAUCUCCUCUUCCUCGAAAGUGUCUUCCACUGUCUAAGCAUAAAAAAGUUUUAGCAGAAACUAUUCAGCAUGUCUUCACAUGGGGCUCUUUCAAAUGCUACCUCUUAAAAAUUAGUUUGUCAUAGGCACUGUAAAAUUUUGUUAAAAUGAAGUGUUGCUAAAGAGUGUGUACAGCUAUGAUUAAUAUAUUUUCUGUAAUCAGAGAUGAAUAGGUGCAAGAAUUUUGGAGAAAAUAGUGCAUUAAGUUAUAUAAACUAUGUCUGUUUGGAUCACUUAAGCAUUGCAUGACAGGAUACUGUUUUAUUUUGUUGUUGCAAGGGUAUAAAAGCUUGUAAUAUUUUCUUAAACUCUAAUAUUUAGAGUUUCAUACAAGCAGUCAGCUUUCAUUUAUGUCAAUGCAACCUGCAAGAACAAACAUACAUGCUACAUACAUAGAGAUUGCCUUCAUUCUUCCCCUUGAGAGAAUUUCAGUUGUGCAUGUUGUUUAAAAAGCAGGAUUAGGGCAAAUUUUAACAAAUUAGCAAGUUUUCUCCUAGUAAGAGUAUAGCAAGCAAAUUAAAAAUGCCCUGAGAGUGAUUUAUUUUUAGUCUAUCUUUUUGCCCUUGCAGGGCAGCCGCCAGGUGUCAGCACCUCAGCCAGCAGCUGCCUCCUGCUUCUGGGUAAAGUUAGCCAGGAGGGUUAAGCCCAAUUGUUACUUUCUGCCUGCACCUUUUUAGAAGGGCAUUUUGUACAUAACUUCUGUAGAAGUCAAUGGGGAUUGAAAGGUAGUAUUCUUUUGAAUGGAUUUCUCUACGUUUCCCUCCCAAAACAAGCCAUUCUUGUAUCAGUCUCAUAGACUUUGGCGAAUAUGUAACAUCCUGUAGCAUCAAGUGCAUUUAUCUAGCCAAAAGUGGUGGAAUGCUUGUUAUUCACAGAAUUGCCACUUCAAAUGUAUAGCUAUAACUGCAACUGAAGUAGUUGAAUCUAUCAGUAUGUGGUGCAACUCGAGUUUCAUAGUGUUAGAGCUUGUGAAACAUUUGUUCAUGCUGAGAGUUCCUUCAUAUAAAUCUGAUGAACCUUUUACCUUUUAAAAUAAAUAGAGCAUAAAAAAGGCAUGGGGAUUGAGGGUUUUUUGCCUUGUUAAUCGGAGCAAGAGGGAAGGUGCUUAGCACAAUAAUCAGUUUCUAUAUAUAUACUUUUACUCACUCUUAAGCCUCGUUCCUGUGAGGAUCCUUCAUGGGAAACAUCUUCUAACCCAGGAGGAGUGGCUAAAAUAUCUGAAGAUAGGAGUUGCUUCUUAUCAGCCAGCUUCUGAGGUCUAGUGCUCUUUUUCUUUUGUUCCUCCUGGUGUUCUAUCCCUUUGAAAUCACACAUGCUUUUUACGUUCCCAUACAUAAUAGCAUGGAGUAACACCUUCACACUUGAACAAGCAUAAAAAUACAAAUAAAUUGCUUUCAAAUUAUGAGUUUCUUAUGUAUUUUAAUAAUUAGCUGCUAUCCACAGUUCCACUUUACAGGGCACUCUGACUUGCUUUUUAAGUAAGCUGAUACAGUGGUAACACCUAGGCUGAUCAAUUUAUAAUCAUAAAUGGUACAGAUAUCUUCAAGUUGUUCAGUGCAUACAGUAUUACUUCACAGAUAUGCUUUAUGUAUUUUUAAACUUGGUGCCAAGUUGUUUGGUUUUACAUCCUAGAGGGUUUGAAACUGAGCCAUAGGAUUUGUACUUGCCAAUUCUAAAUUUAAAUGUGAUUUAUCAUGUGUGUCAUGCCAAGGAGAGCAAACCUGCAGGCAUAUGCUCAUUCAGUGCACCUGGGGGAUUUGCUGCUGAGCAAGCUGUACAUGUGUAAAUUUUGUGGCAAUGGAAAAAGGAAUAAAUGGACUGUCAACAUAAAGGAUUGAAGUCAUGUGAGACAUCUGUAUGGUUUUCAUCAGCUCUCUGCUUUGGAAGUCUUGCAACGGCCAGUGGUUUUUUUGCUAUCCAGUUCAUUUAUUACAUUCUUGCAUUAUUAUACUAUCAGCCAGAAGAGGGCAAGGAUGUAACUCACUAACUUUUGGCUAGCUAUAAUAAAUAUUUGGUUUGCUCAUAUGUGCCGUGUUUAAGCUUUUAAGAAGCUUGACAUGUUCAGCUGCAGUGCUGUAUUCCCUAGACGUAGUCACUACAUGCUAGUGUCCAAACUCUGCCAUUUGUGUUACUGGUUUGUACAGGCAGUGAGAGGUGUAAUUGCAGGGCAGGUGUUGCUCAGUCCUGGUUCUGAGCUCUGUAGGAGAAACAGCAUGCUCAGAAGUAUGUGCAAAGACCUUCAGAGGUAUGUAUUCACCUGCCAUUAAUUCCCUUCUCAAAGUUGAAAUCAAAAUAAUUAAGUUGCCCUCUGUCUUCUCCCAGCUGCCCUCCCUCUCCAGUGCUUUCACCAACCAUGGGCUGGUUUGGUGUCGCACAAGUCUUGUCUUCCUGUAACAGCAAAACUGCUGAUGCUGAUAACUUGAACCACAGCAAGCUCUUUUCCUUUCAGGUGUCAGCACCAGUAGCUUCUGUCAGUUGGUGCCAACCAGCAUCUGGCCCCCCAAAAGGCACACCCUUUCUAAAUGAGAAAAAGUGUAAUGAUUUUACAACCAUGAGCCAGUUUUCUGAUCUUUUCAUUAUAUACAGUAUGCUGGGUAGAAUUAGAGGUGAGGAUAACACACCUCUAAAACUAACUUUUGUUUUAAGCUGUUGACAGAGGGAUCUGCAGCUGCCUCUACAACCACAUGCAGAAAAUACCGUAUUUCAGACAAAUGGGUGCAAUGUUCAGCUUUUAAUGAGAAGGGCUGGGGAAGCUUAGGGGCAUUCAAGUUUUGUUUGAGCAUUGGAAUGCUUCCUCUUGUUGGUGCAUAUACCUGACAAAUUCCCAUGUGUUUUUUCUUGUGCCUCCUUUUCCAAGCAGUGAUACACUCUGUUGUUUGGCAAACCCUAUAGGCUUCAUGUCAUUCUUCAGCUUUCUGUUAAGGAUGAAAAGAGGAAAGAAGUACACGCUGUAUUGAUACAGGAUUCUUUUUCCUUUAAAGCAGUGGCUUAAAACUAUGAAAAUUAUUCAUCUCCGUUAUUAAAGAAUUGCGUAAAAACAUCUAAGUUUUCCUGGAUCUCAGUGAGUGUGUUUUAAAGGAAUGAUCCUUUUGCUAAAGUAAAAUCCUUCAUUUCAACAGUUGUAAAGAUGCAGCUCUAACAGAAGUCUGACACCUAUCUGAUAUCAACAAUACUUUUUAAGGAUAUGGCUCUGAAUCCUUUGAUUGGUUGAACUUGGAGCAUUUCUCUGCUGAGUGUUUUUGAACUGCAGAAACAUCAGCCACUCACUCAGGGAUGAGGCGCUUGGGGUGUAGUCGUCUUCUUUUAACUUGAAAAGGGUUUGUGUGGACACAGCAUUGUCAGUCCUUUUGCCAGUUCAUUUAUUCACAGAAGACCCCAGUGCCUGUACAGCACAUGAGCCCUGCCCUGGGUGCUGGAGAUCGUCAAUGCAGAGCCCCUCAGGUGGAAGAGGCAGGAGCAGCCACAUCUGCCAGAGGCGUUGCUUCCAUGUUCUCACGUCGCAUUUCAAAUACAGUUAAGCUGAAACAGCGCAUUGCCACCAACCCAGACAAGCCUCUUCUCUGUCCAGCCUUCCCAUGCCUUUUUUUCUGGAUUCUCCCCAUCU